ACUCUGGAGAAUCCCGAUGCGGUCCUCAGUCCGGCUCAUUCCGCCGGCAGAGCUGCAAAACGGGUGCCGAAGGUGCAAGGUGCGGGACCGUUUCUCACACUGAAUCUCUCAGGCAAAUGGACAGAGCCG
rnacentral:ncRNA from 1 species